CGCACUUGGUAUUGCCUGAUGGAAAAAAAUGCCCUGAAUUUCCCGAUAAAAGAUUUGAGAUGUGGCAAAGGAAUAAAUAUUUUUUCCCUAAGAUAAAUCUAGCUGUAGGUGAAAACUGGGUCUCAUGCCUCGGACAAAAUAUUAUUUCCUUAUUUACUCUAAGUCUAUAUCAGAAUAUAGCCUACAUAGCAUCAGGUACUAAGCCAAAAAAGGCUCCAAGGGCACCAUUGUUCAUCCAUGACUUUGACUGUGUCACCCCCCAGAAACCUUGAGUUGGGCAAAUGAAAUCACAGUAGCCUUUGGUGGCUUCUUGAGCAGCUGCUAAGGAUCACAUGGAUUCUGCUCACACCCAGUGCUUCUCAUAAUUUAAAAAUGCUUGAAGCUGUGGGAGGCUGCCCGGCCCUCUGCAUUAUUCAAAAGAAAACCAGGAGGCAGCGACAAUUCUUGAUUCUUGCAGAUAAACAUUCUCCAACAACUAUUAAGAGUUGGAUUGCUCUACCUUCAUUUAAUUCCUUGGUGCUUUACUAUUUGAAUCUAGAAUAUUCUUGAAGUCUGAAAGAUGGAUAGAAAAGAGUUGUUCUCAAGACUCCUAAAUAAAGCAUUUCCCCUGUGUGGGCGACCCCUGGGUCCCAUGUGGGGUCAGUGUUUGGGUCUCUCUGAGAGGAUCAGGAAGGCUGCUCUUCCAGGAAGGGCUGCAGGGACCCUGGGAACCGGACCAGUCCAGCUCACAAGUAUGAAGAGAAUGUCGGGAGAGGAAGUGGUGGCUAUGAGUCAGCAUGAGUCAUCUCGUUCCAAUGAGAAUGAAGGCUGAGGUGUGCGCCUUUUUUUUUUUUCCUUCUUAGUCGUGUGUACAUCAUUGGGAAUGGAGGGAAAUAAAUGACUGGAUGGUCGCUGCUUUUUAAGUUUCAAAUUGACAUUCCAGACAAGCGGUGCCUGAGCCCGUGCCUGUCUUCAGAUCUUCACAGCACAGUUCCUGGGAAGGUGGAGCCACCAGCCUCUCCCUGAAUAACUGGGAGAUGAAACAGGAAGCUCUAUGACACACUUGAUCGAAUAUGACAGACACUGAAAAUCACGACUCAUCCCCCUCCAGCACCUCUACCUGUUGCCCGCCGAUCACAGCCGGAAUGCAGCUGAAAGAUUCCCUGGGGCCUGGUUCCAACUGCCCACUGUGGACUCUGAGGCCUCUGCAUUUGCGGGUGGUCUGCCUGUGAUAUUUUGGUCAUGGGCUGGUCUGGUCGGUUUCCCAUUUGUCUGGCCAGUCUCUGUGUGUCUUAAUCCCUUGUCCUUCAUUAAAAGCAAAACUAAAGAAAACAGAA
rnacentral:lncRNA from 1 species